GACGAACGCUGGCGGCGUGCCUAAUACAUGCAAGUCGAACGAGAGCGACCGGUGCUUGCACUGGUCAAUCUAGUGGCGAACGGGUGAGUAACACGUGGGUAACCUGCUCAUCAGAGGGGGAUAACAUCCGGAAACGGAUGCUAAAACCGCAUAGGUCUUCGAGCCGCAUGGCUUGAAGAGGAAAAGAGGCGCAAGCUUCUGCUGAUGGAUGGACCCGCGGUGCAUUAGCUAGUUGGUGAGGUAACGGCUCACCAAGGCCGUGAUGCAUAGCCGACCUGAGAGGGUGAUCGGCCACAUUGGGACUGAGACACGGCCCAAACUCCUACGGGAGGCAGCAGUAGGGAAUCUUCCGCAAAGGACGCAAGUCUGACGGAGCAACGCCGCGUGAGUGAAGAAGGUUUUCGGAUCGUAAAACUCUGUUGUUAGAGAAGAACAAGUGCUAGAGUAACUGUUAGCGCCUUGACGGUAUCUAACCAGAAAGCCGCGGCUAACUACGUG
rnacentral:rRNA from 1 species